GGGGGUGGUAAUUUUAUUUUGAUGUGAAACCUAGUGGACAUAGAGGACUCUUUCUAUAAUUGAAACUAUUCUAAGUUGGAUAAGAACCCAAUUAAAUUGGAUCCAAUCUCAUUAGGUCAACGAUAAUUGGUCUAGUUUAGCUCAAACACUUUGAACUGAACCAAUUUAGAAACUUGGAUUGAUACAAUGUGCUAGCAUAUCAAAUUAAUCCUUAAAAUUUAUAUUAAAUUCUAAUUAAAUUAGACUAAGAUUAAAUCUCAAUGUGUGUGACCCA
rnacentral:lncRNA from 1 species